UACGGAGGGUGCGAGCGUUGUCCGGAAUCACUGGGCGUAAAGGGCGCGUAGGCGGCCUGAUAAGUAGGGGGUGAAAUCCUGCGGCUUAACCGCAGGGCUGCCUUCUAAACUGUCGGGCUAGAGCACGGUAGAGGCAGAUGGAAUUCCCGGUGUAGCGGUGGAAUGCGUAGAGAUCGGGAAGAACAUCAGUGGCGAAGGCGGUCUGCUGGGCCGACACUGACACUGAGAGACGAAAGCUAGGGGAGCGAAUGGG
rnacentral:rRNA from 1 species